AUUGAACGCUAGCGGCAUGCUUUACACAUGCAAGUCGAACGAGUGGCGGACGGGUGAGUAAUGUCUCGGAACGUGCCCAAUGGAGGGGGAUAACUACUCGAAAGAGUAGCUAAUACCGCAUACUAUUGGAGCGGCCCAUAUGGGAUUAGCUAGUAGGUGGGGUAACUGCUCACCUAGGCAACGAUCCCUAGCUGGUCUGAGAGGACGACCAGCCACACUGGUACUGAGCCACGGUCCAGAAUCCUACGGUAGGAAGCAGGGGGGAAGAUUGCACAAUGGGCGCAAGCCUGAUGCAGUCAUGACGCAUGUAUGAAGAAGGCCUUCGGGUUGUAAAGUACUUUCAGCGAGGAGGCGUUACGCGCAGAAGAAGCACCGGCUAACUCCGUUCCAGCAGCCGCGGUAAUAC
rnacentral:rRNA from 1 species